UCCUAGCGUCCGAGAGGCUG
rnacentral:misc_RNA from 1 species